rnacentral:rRNA from 1 species
GAUGAACGCUGGCGGCGUGCCUAAUACAUGCAAGUCGAGCGAAGCGGGGACGGGUGCGUAACCCGUGGAUAACCUCCUAUACGUCUGGGAUAACUUCGGGAAACCGGAGCUAAACCGGAUACUUAUCUUUGGCUCCUCGCUGCAUUAGCUCGUUGGUAAGGUAACGGCGUACCAAGGCCACGAUGAAUAGCCGAACUGGGAGGGUGAUCGGCAACAUGGGAACUGAGACACGGUCCAGACUCCGACGGGAGGCAGCAGUAGGGAAGCGUCCGCAAUGGGCGAAAGCCUGACGGAGCAACGCAGCGUGAGGGAUGAAGGUCUUCGGAUCGUAAAGCUCUGUUGUUAAGGAAGCGGUACUUAACCAGAAAGGGACGGCUAACUACGUGCCAGCAGCCGCGGUAAUUC